rnacentral:rRNA from 1 species
GCUGGGGGAUAACCUCGCGAAAGUGAGAACAAUACCCCAUGGGUCACUAUGCCUGGAACGGUUAGUGGCUGAAAGCUCCGGCGGCACAGGAUGGGUCUGCGGCGUAUCAGGUCGUAGGGGGUGUAACGUACCUCCUAGCCUUCGACGCGUACGGGUUGUGAGAGCAAUUGCCCGGAGAUGGAUUCUGAGACACGAAUCCAGGCCCUACGGGGCGCAGCAGGCGCGAAAACUUGACAAUGCGAGAAAUCGUGAUCAGGGGACUCCAGUUGGCUGGAUCAAAAGUCCAGUCUGAACCGACUUUAAAUCGGUCGGGUAAUAGGGGCGGGAAAGACCGGUGCCAGCCGCCGCGGUAAUACCGGCGCCCCAAGUGGUCGUCACUAUUAUUGGGCCUAAAACGUCCGUAGCCGGUUUGGUAAAUCCGUGGGUAAAUCAGACAGCCCAACUGUCUGAAUUCUGCGGGGACUGCCAGACUUGAGACCGGGAGAGGUGCGGGGUACUUGCGGGGUACCGGUAAAAUGGGAUCAUCCCGUAGAGACCACCUGUUGCGAAGGCGCCGCACUAGAACGGAUCUGACGGUCAGGGACGAAGCCUAGGGGCACGAACCGGAUUAGAUACCCGGGUAGUCCUAGGUGUAAACGCUGUGGACUUGGUGUCGGGGACCUUCUGAGGGUUUCCGGUGCCGGAGUGAAGAUGUUAAGUCCACUGCCUGGGGAG